rnacentral:rRNA from 1 species
UACGGGGGGGGCAAGCGUUGUUCGGAAUUACUGGGCGUAAAGGGCUCGUAGGCGGCCAACUAAGUCGGAUGUGAAAUCCCCAGGCUCAACCUGGGAACUGCAUCCGAUACUGGAUGGCUUGAAUCCGGGAGAGGGAUGCAGAAUUCCAGGUGUAGCGGUGAAAUGCGCAGAUAUCAGGAGGAACACCGGUGGCGAAGGCGGCUUGCUGGGCCAGUUCUGACGCUGAGGAGCGAAAGCGUGGGGAGCGAACAGG